CUGGCGGCAGGCCUAACACAUGCAAGUCGAGCGGUAACAUUUCCAGCUUGCUAGAAGAUGACGAGCGGCGGACGGGUGAGUAAUACUUGGGGAUCUGCCUGAUGGCGGGGGACAACCACUGGAAACGGUGGCUAAUACCGCAUAAUACCUACGGGUCAAAGUGUGGGACCUUCGGGCCACACGCCAUCAGAUGAACCCAAGCGAGAUUAGCUAGUUGGUGAGGUAACGGCUCACCAAGGCGACGAUCUCUAGCUGUUCUGAGAGGAUGAUCAGCCACACUGGGACUGAGACACGGCCCAGACUCCUACGGGAGGCAGCAGUGGGGAAUAUUGGACAAUGGGCGCAAGCCUGAUCCAGCCAUGCCGCGUGUGUGAAGAAGGCCUUCGGGUUGUAAAGCACUUUCAGUGGUGAGGAAGGCGUUGUAGUUAAUAGCUGCAACGAUUGACGUUAGCCACAGAAGAAGCACCGGCUAACUCCGUGCCAGCAGCCGCGGUAAUACGGAGGGUGCGAGCGUUAAUCGGAAUUACUGGGCGUAAAGCGCACGUAGGCGGCUUGUUAAGCAAGAUGUGAAAGCCCAGGGCUCAACCUUGGAAUUGCAUUUUGAACUGGCAAGCUAGAGUUUUGAAGAGGGUGGUAGAAUUUCCAGUGUAGCGGUGAAAUGCGUAGAUAUUGGAAGGAAUACCAGUGGCGAAGGCGGCCACCUGGUCAAAAACUGACGCUGAGGAGCGAAAGCGUGGGGAGCAAACAGGAUUAGAUACCCUGGUAGUCCACGCCGUAAACGAUGUCAACUAGUUGUUCGUGUCUUUGAGACGUGAGUAACGCAGCUAACGCACUAAGUUGACCGCCUGGGGAGUACGGCCGCAAGGUUAAAAC
rnacentral:rRNA from 1 species